GCGCAGCAGGCGCGAAACUUUACAAUGUGCGAAAGCACGAUAAGGGAACUCUGAGUGCCUCCUAAGGAGGCUGUUCUGAUGUCUAAAAAGCAACAGAAGUAAGGGCUGGGUAAGACCGGUGCCAGCCGCCGCGGUAACACCGGCAGCCCAAGUGGUAGCCACGUUUAUUGGGUCUAAAGCGUUCGUAGCCGGCCAGGUAAGUUCCUUGGUAAAUUUAGCCGCUUAACGGUUAAGCUUUCAGGGAAUACUGCUUGGCUUGGGACUGGGAGAGGUCAGAGGUACUCCGGGGGUAGGGGUGAAAUCUAUUAAUCCCUGGGGGACCACCGGUAGCGAAGGCGUCUGACCAGACCAGGUCCGACGGUGAGGGACGAAGGCUAGGGGCGCGAACCGGAUUAGAUACCCCGGUAGU
rnacentral:rRNA from 1 species